UGAGGAAUAUUGGUCAAUGGGAGAGAUCCUGAACCAGCCAUGCCGCGUGCAGGAAGAAUGCUCUAAGAGUUGUAAACUGCUUUUGUACCGGGGUAAAAGACUUUACGUGUAAGGUUUUGAAAGUACGGUACGAAUAAGGAUCGGCUCACUCCGUGCCAGCAGCCGCGGUAAUACGGAGGAUCCGAGCGUUAUCCGGAUUCAUUGGGUUUAAAGGGUGCGUAGGUUGUCUUAUAAGUUAGCGGUGAAAUACCGAUGCUCAACAUCGGGGCUGCCGCUGAUACUGUAAGACUAGAGAGGGGAUGCAGCAGGCGGAAUGUGUAGUGUAGCGGUGAAAUGCAUAGAUAUUACACAGAACACCGAUUGCGAAGGCAGCUUGCUAGGCCCGCUCUGACACUGAUGCACGAAAGCGUGGGGAUCGAACAGG
rnacentral:rRNA from 1 species